CCCAGACUCCUACGGGAGGCAGCAGUGGGGAAUAUUGGGCAAUGGGCGCAAGCCUGACCCAGCAACGCCGCGUGAAGGAAGAAGGCUUUCGGGUUGUAAACUUCUUUUAUUCGGGACGAAGAAAGUGACGGUACCGAAUGAAUAAGCCACGGCUAACUACGUGCCAGCAGCCGCGGUAAUACGUAGGUGGCAAGCGUUAUCCGGAUUUAUUGGGUGUAAAGGGCGUGUAGGCGGGAAUGCAAGUCAGAUGUGAAAACUCAGGGCUCAACCCUGAGCCUGCAUUUGAAACUGUAUUUCUUGAGUGCUGGAGAGGCAAUCGGAAUUCCGUGUGUAGCGGUGAAAUGCGUAGAUAUACGGAGGAACACCAGUGGCGAAGGCGGAGUGCUGGACAGUAACUGACGCUGAGGCGCGAAAGCGUGGGGAGCAAACAGGAUUAGAUACCCGGGUAGCA
rnacentral:rRNA from 1 species